AUAUUUCACAAAAAAAUAAGAAAUGGAAUUACAACAUAUACUAAUCUCGGUCCAAAUAGCCCAAAGUAAAAACAUCUGAACCGAAAAAAUUGUGUGGUCGAUGACCAUUCAGUUUUAAACAAAAAAAACAAAAAAAAGGAAAGAACAGAUUUUCUGUCUCGAUGUUCUUUAACGGAAGACGAUUUCCAUGGUGAAACUCAUGAUAUGAACGGCCGCGGCGUACUUCCGGUGGUAAUGAUGGAAGCGUCUGCUUGAAGAGGUUAAGAUCGACGGUAGCAAAUCAAAGAACUAUCGAGUUUUUCAGAUUUGCUGGAAAACUUCAUGAUGAUCCAAACUCGAUAGAUCCACAGAGGACUUCUCUGUUUCUGAUCUAUUUAGGCAUCCGUGGAAGACACGAUGAGUUUGAGAUGGUUGACGAACUUCACAGUUUCAGCUCUGUUUGACAUAGUCCAAAGAAGAUUUGAAAGACCAAAAAAAUGGAAUAAUAAACUUUCAGAGAAGAUAUUCAUAUUCCAAAUACGAAGUUCUGGGUUUCAUUCUUCUAUGAAGAUAAACAUAAUUUUAAAAUAAAAGAUAAGUUUUUUUCCAGAUUCUUUGUCUUCUUUUACAUUAAUAUAAAUCGUACUUCAUAGAGAAAUAGCAUUAUUAGUUUAUUAAUAUAUGUUUG